CUAGAAUAUUGGUGACUGUUACAAAAAUGAGAAAUUCUGGAUCUCUGAGAAAACAAAGGAUUCCAUUACAUCAAGUCAUCAAAGUAAGCAUCUUUGAAGGAGUGACAAGCAAAAUACAGCUGCAGGAUCAGUGACUCACGGUUAAUCAGCUUUGCCUUCUGUCAUUGUUGACUGCUGGAGGUGGUGAUCCAUGUCAGUCACUGAAACAGCACCUUGGCAAGACUGCAGUCUGCUAGUGGAGUUUUUGUGUAUGGGAACACUUUUAGAUAAUGAGAUUUUCAUCUAACCUGAGCACAACACUCAGUGCCUGGAACAUAGUAGGUAUCCAGUAAAUAUUUAUUAAUAUUAGUUAUAGACUCAUAUUUUGAAAGCUUUGCUAACAUGGGAUAGGUAAAUUUGUUGUG
rnacentral:lncRNA from 9 species